rnacentral:rRNA from 1 species
GACGAACCGUGCUAGCGUUAUUCGGAAUCACUGGGCUUAAAGCGCGUGUAGGCGGGACGGCACGUCGGUCGCUGAAAUCCCCCGGCUCAACCGGGGAACUGGCGCCGAUACGACCGCCCUCGAGGGACGUAGGGGGACCUGGAACUUCCGGUGGAGCGGUGAAAUGCGUUGAGAUCGGAAGGAACGCCCGUGGCGAAAGCGAGGUCCUGGACGUUUUCUGACGCUGAGACGCGAAAGCCAGGGGAGCGAACGGG